ACGCUCAGAAUCUAUUUGGCGGCGACCAACAGGUCUUAAAUGGAUAGCAGCAGCAACUCUGGUGCUAAUACAUGCGAUUGUUUCUCCAGAUGUGAAUUAUGGAGGAAAAGUUGACCUCAUCAGAGGCACGCCAUUCGACUGAGUGACCUAUCAGCUUGUACUUAGGGUCUUUACCUAGGUAGGCUAUCACGGGUAACGGGCGGUUACCGUCGGACUGCCGGAGAAGGCGCCUGAGAGAUAGCGACUAUAUCCACGGGUAGCAGCAGGCGCGAAACUUUCCCACUCGAGACUUUCGGAGGAGGUAAUGACCAGUUCCAUUGGUGCCUUUUGGUACUGUGGAUAGGGGUACGGUUUUCCACCGUACCGAAACCUAGCAGAGGGCCAGUCUGGUGCCAGCAGCUGCGGUAAUUCCAGCUCUGCGAGUUUGCUCCCAUAUUGUUGCAGUUAAAACGCCCCGUAGUCUGAAUUGGCCAGCAAUGGUCGUACGUAUUUUUACGUUCACUGUGAACAAAUCAGGACGCUUAGAGUAUGGCCACAUGAAUGACUCAGCGCAGUAUGAAGUCUUUGUUUUCUUUCCGAAAA
rnacentral:ncRNA from 1 species